rnacentral:tRNA from 1 species
UUUUAUAUAGUUUAACAUAAAACGUUAUAUUUUCAUUAUAAUAAUAAAGAAUAAUCUUUUAUAAAAU